UUUGCCUGCAAAUGGCAUCAGCCCGCGACCCGCACUUUAUUUCUGAGUCUUCUUUUUCCUUAUUCUUCUGUGACACUGCUCCCUCAGGUCAGUUCAUUGUUGGGCUGGUCCUGACAUUUGGCGCCUGCACAGGGUCCCGAGGGAGCAAGUAGCUUUUGAGGCUUUUUUUGACAGUGCCAGAAGACUCGGGGAAUUCCAGCCAAGAGAUCAGAGGACAGUGGAAGCACUUGACCACCAGGUUCCAGUCCAAUAAAGAACCAACAAGUGGCGCCCAGGAACAGGGACUCUGGUACACGUGGCAGAUUCGGACGGAGUGACCCCAGAGGGCCUAUUGAGGCUGCACCGCUCCUUCAGGUGGGAUUGUGUUUGGUUGGUCCUGACAAUUGGCAGCUUCUAAGAGGAAGAAGUUACAGGAACAGAUUGGCAGCUGCUAAGAGGAAGAAGUGGCUUCCUUUCAGAAUGCCUUUUAUCUCAUGUGGUUUUGAAGGAGGAAACAGACAGAACAGGCUCUGUCUUGAAAGCAGGACUCCAUCUUGGGCUGGACUGUGGACUUUGAGCUAUAUGCCCAGUACGUAUGGAAAUGACAUACCAACUGGAAAAACCAGACCCUCAUCUGGAUGGGAGAGCCCCAGGGCUUGUACCUAGACUCUCCUUCACCUAAAAGAAUACCCUAAUUAUCUGUGUAACUGAAAAGAAUCAUAAAUUCUAUUACGCUUAUUGGGGUAUGACCACAGGCCUAUUGAUAAUUGUCCACUGUUAACUAUCUAGGCUUAAGGCAUA